CGACCGGCGCACGGGUGAGUAACGCGUAUGCAACCUGCCCGAUACCGGGGUAUAGCCCAUGGAAACGUGGAUUAACACCCCAUAGUACUUUUAUCCUGCCUGGGAUGUGAGUUAAAUGUUCAAGGUAUCGGAUGGGCAUGCGUCCUAUUAGUUAGUUGGCGGGGCAACAGCCCACCAAGACGAUGAUAGGUAGGGGUUCUGAGAGGAAGGUCCCCCACAUUGGAACUGAGACACGGUCCAA
rnacentral:rRNA from 1 species